rnacentral:rRNA from 1 species
UACGUAGGGGGCAAGCGUUGUCCGGAUUUAUUGGGCGUAAAGAGCGUGUAGGCGGCCUGACAAGUCUGCUGUGAAAACUCGAGGCUCAACCUCGAGAUGUCGGCGGAAACUGUCUGGCUAGAGUCCGGAAGAGGAGAGUGGAAUUCCUGGUGUAGCGGUGAAAUGCGCAGAUAUCAGGAAGAACACCUAUGGCGAAGGCAGCUUGCUGGGACGGUACUGACGCUGAGGCGCGAAAGCGUGGGGAGCAAACAGG